UAAAUGACUCUCGGCAACGGAUAUCUCGGUUCUCGCUUGGAUGAAGAAAGUAGGGAAAUGCAUUCCUUGGUUGGAAUUGCAGAAUCCCGCGCACCAUCGAUUCUUUGAACGCAAGCUGCGCCCGAUCCCAUUCGGUUGGGGGCACGCCUGCCUGGGCGUCCCUCG
rnacentral:rRNA from 1 species